rnacentral:rRNA from 1 species
AACGAACGCUGGCGGCAUGCCUAACACAUGCAAGUCGAACGAAACCUCCGGGUCUAGUGGCGCACGGGUGUGUAAGGCGUGGGAACCUUCCCUUAUGGUUGGAAUAACUCUCCGAAAGGGGUGCUAAUACCGGAUAAUGUCUUCGGACCAAAGAUUUCUCGCCUUUGGAUGGUCCCGCGUUGAAUUAGCUAGUUGGUAGGGUAAUAGCCUCCUAAGGCGACGAUCCAUAGCUGGUCUGAGAGGAGGAUUAGCAACACUGAGACGGAGACACGGCCGAGACUCCUACGCGAAGCAGCAGUGGGGAAUAUUGGACAGUGGCCGAAAGCAUGAUCCAGCACUGCCGCGUGAGUGAUGAAGGCAUUAGGGUUGUAAAGCUCUUUUAACCGGGAUGAUAAUGACGGUACCGGGAGAAUAAGCUCCGGCUAACUCCGUG